UUUUUUUUGGAGGGGUGUGGGUGGAGGGAAUGGAAGUACCACUUCAGACGGUUCCCGUUCGCACUGGACCCGGCCACGGAGGUGACUAGAGAGAGGUCGGCGCUGCCCGCCGCCCCGAUGCCCGCGGCCUACGCAGAGGGACGGAGGAGCCUCGGCGGAGAAGGCCGGUGUUGGCGCUGCCGGUGCCCGGAGGGCCAGGAAGGACGGGCCCCGGAGAGCCAG